AGCAGCUGAAGAGAGCUGGACAGGGCUGAAGGCAGGGAGCUCCUUGGGAUGGGACCGCAGGCGGGCACCCAGCCCUGAACUGCUGUGGGAAACACAGCUCAUGAAGGAAUUCACCCACUGUAAAGGACUCCGGAACGGUUAGCAGUUUACGGAUUCACUGCCUGAGAGCAACAGAGUGUAUCCAGCACUGAAGUGUGACACACAUCGCAUGUCAUUAUUUAUCUUAAUGUCAUCCAGCCUGGCUUUGCUCCAUCCUUCUGGAUUGGCAGGAAAUCCAAUCUGGUCGUUCUAAGAAGACUUCUUGACUGUUGUGGGACUCUCCAGAUCCACAGUGCUUGCUUCAUGCAGAAAGUCAACAUGACCAUGAAAAUUAAACAUUUUGAAUUAGUUCAGGACAUCAAAGCAACUAUAGUAGAACUAAAGGCAUGAAGGAAGACUUCCAGAAUUGCAUAAGAAGGUGGCAGGAAUGACGAGGACUUGCCUCUCUCCCCUGAAAAGUGGGAGCGAUGAUUCCUGCUCGCUCGUUUUAAGAGCUGUUGCUGGGAUGAAGAUGUAGAUGUUGAAGCAAGUAUCUUGUUCACUGAGUGUUGUCUAUGCCGAGAGAAAGCACUGUGAAAGCAUAACAGACCCAGUGAACGGCUCCACACACUGUGAUCACGACACGAGGUCCUGAGUCUCUGAGCCACAGGGCUGUAAACACCAGAGUCUGUCACAAGAUAGAUACACUAGGAGACAACCUCGGGGGGACCUGUUUAUCUCCAAAGAAGGGCUAGCUACGUGUGGGACAAUGCUGUAGCAACGUUCAGCAACUGCAGAAAGCCACAGCUCCCAGUCAACCUCAUGUUCACGAGUGUAAACAACCAUGGAAAAUCUACAGUGUGGUGUGUGGCCAGGCUGUGAUGUUCAGUAGGUGUGGCUCGUGAUAUUUUCAACUUAUGACACAUUUAUUGAAAUGUAAUCCCGUUGUAAAUUGAGACACAUCUGCAUGAAUUGAUACAUAGGUUGAAAAUGUAUACAUAGUACACACAGAGAACAAGAGAUAAAGAUUACAGGAUAGAAUAGAUAGGCAGAUAGCUAGGUAGAUAGAUGAUAGAUAGAUAGA